GGUCUUAUAGUUGACAAACAACCUUAAACUGCAAAUUUAAAAGCGUAGUAUAUCUACUAAGACUU
rnacentral:tRNA from 1 species